rnacentral:rRNA from 1 species
CCAGACAGCCAGGAUGUUGGCUUAGAAGCAGCCAUCAUUUAAAGAAAGCGUAAUAGCUCACUGGUCGAGUCGGCCUGCGCGGAAGAUGUAACGGGGCUAAACCAUGCACCGAAGCUGCGGCAGCGACACUAUGUGUUGUUGGGUAGGGGAGCGUUCUGUAAGCCUGCGAAGGUGUACUGUGAGGUAUGCUGGAGGUAUCAGAAGUGCGAAUGCUGACAUAAGUAACGAUAAAGCGGGUGAAAAGCCCGCUCGCCGGAAGACCAAGGGUUCCUGUCCAACGUUAAUCGGGGCAGG